rnacentral:lncRNA from 1 species
AGUCGUAAAGAGGAAAAUCAAUAAUUUCCAGGGUAUAAAAGAUCCUGCCUCACGUAACGCGAGUUACCCUCUCUUUUGUUCCAGUGAACGUUGUGCGGUGUAUUCGAAAGAAGAGAGCUCGUCGCGUCCCGAGUAUUAAAUAAUACAAAGUAUAUAUAUAUAAAAAUAUAUAUAUAUAUAUUUAUACAUACAUAAUAUACAAGAAAAGUCUUUAUAAAAAAGAAAAAAAAACCACACCUCUCGAUUCUUCGAUUCUGAUUGGUUCGUGUCAUUUAAUUUAUAAAAAAAAAUAAAAAAGAAAAAAAGCUCUCAAAUUUUUUCCCUUAUUAUCAUCGUUGUGGAGCUUUCGCCCUGGUUCUUCUCAGAAUAAAAGCGCUAACGUAAUAUCACGUGGAUGAGAAAAUAACGAUCGUAUUCUAUGGAAAGUCUUAUCUACCAGGAUUAAACGGAAACCUUUCUUUUGUCGAAUGAUUCACUCUUCGAGGAAGAUGAUCCAGCGAGUAUAUAUGUAUUAUACUGUUAUUUGAAUAAAUAGGCAUAUUAGUCUUAAUUACAUUGCACUCAA